GUCCACGCUGUAAACGAUGGGCACUAGGUGUCCGGGGUAUUGACCCCCUGGGUGCCGCAGCUAACGCAUUAAGUGCCCCGCCUGGGGAGUACGGUCGCAAGAUUAAAACUCAAAGGAAUUGACGGGGCCCGCACAAGCGGUGGAGCAUGUGGUUCAAUUCGACGCAACGCGAAGAACCUUACCUGGGCUAGACAACAGCGGACCGUCCUAGAAAUAGGAUCUUCCCUUCGGGGACCGCUGGUUCAGGUGCUGCAUGGCUGUCGU
rnacentral:rRNA from 1 species